rnacentral:rRNA from 1 species
GCGCACGGGUGAGUAAUAUAUAGAUAACGUGCCUCUUAGUCUGGGAUAGCCAUUGGAAACGAUGAUUAAUACCGGAUACUCCUUCUCUUUCUAAUAAGAGUUGGGAAAGUUUUUCGCUAAGAGAUCGGUCUAUAUCCCAUCAGCUUGUUGGUAGUGUAAGAGACUACCAAGGCUAUGACGGGUAGCGGGUUUGAGAGGAUGAUCCGCCACACUGGUACUGAGACACGGACCAGACUCCUACGGGAGGCAGCAGUGAGGAAUAUUGCACAAUGGAGGAAACUCUGAUGCAGCAACGCCGCGUGGAGGAUGACGCAUUUCGGUGUGUAAACUCCUUUUAUAGGUCAAGAAAAUGACGGUAGCAUAUGAAUAAGCACCGGCUAACUCCGUGCCAGCAGCCGCGGUAAUACGGAGGGUGCAAGCGUUAUUCGGAAUCACUGGGCGUAAAGGACGCGUAGGCGGGAAGCCAAGUCUGAUGUGAAAUCCUAUGGCUUAACCAUAGAACUGCAUUGGAAACUGGUUACCUAGAGUAUGGGAGGGGGAGAUGGAAUUAGUGGUGUAGGGGUAAAAUCCGUAGAUAUCACUAGGAAUACCGAAAGCGAAGGCGAUCUCCUGGAACAAUACUGACGCUAAGGCGUG